rnacentral:rRNA from 1 species
UACGGGGGGGGUAAGCGUUGUUCGGAAUUACUGGGCGUAAAGGGCUCGUAGGCGGCCAACUAAGUCAGACGUGAAGUCCCUCAGCUUAACUGGGGAACUGCGUCUGAUACUGGAUGGCUUGGAUUCGGGAGAGGAAUGCGGAAUUCCAGGUGUAGCGGUGAAAUGCGUAGAUAUCUGGAGGAACACCGGUGGCGAAGGCGGCAUUCUGGACCGAUAUUGACGCUGAGGAGCGAAAGCUAGGGGAGCAAACAGG